rnacentral:rRNA from 1 species
UACGGAGGAUCCGAGCGUUAUCCGGAUUUAUUGGGUUUAAAGGGUGCGCAGGCGGGGGAUUAAGUCGGCGGUGAAAUUUUGCAGCUCAACUGUAAAAGUGCCAUCGAUACUGGUUUUCUUGAGUGUGGAUGAAGUAGGCGGAAUUUGUGGUGUAGCGGUGAAAUGCAUAGAUAUCACGAGGAACUCCGAUUGCGCAGGCAGCUUUACUAAACUACUACUGACGCUCAGGCACGAAGGCGUGGGGAUCAAACAGGAUUAGAUA